AGAUCAAACUGUUGGUCGUGCCUUGGUACGUACUGGCAUUAUUGAUUUCUCCCUUCUGAAGAACCACGAUGCCAUUAAUUUGGUGUUUUAGGGAAUCAGGACUGUUACUUUGAAAAAAUUAGAGUGUUUAAAGCAGGCUCACGCUUGAAUACAUUAGCAUGGAAUAACGGAAUAGGACGUUUGAUUCUAUUUUGUUGGUUUCUAGGAUCGACGUA
rnacentral:rRNA from 1 species